rnacentral:ncRNA from 19 species
AUGAGACUAGCGGGAGAGAUCUGAUAAAUCCAGGCGCCGAAGGAGAAAUCCCUUAAAAAUCGCUUUUUUAAGGAGCAAACUCUCAGGCAAAAGUACUGCUAGUUGACG